GCAUAUCAAUAAGCGGAGGAAAAGAAACCAACCGGGAUUGCCUUAGUAACGGCGAGUGAAGCGGCAAAAGCUCAAAUUUGAAAUCUGGUACCUUUGGUGCCCGAGUUGUAAUUUGGAGAGGGCAACUUUGGGACCGUUCCUUGUCUAUGUUCCUUGGAACAGGACGUCAUAGAGGGUGAGAAUCCCGUGUGGCGAGGAGUGCGGUUCUAUGUAAAGUGCCUUCGAAGAGUCGAGUUGUUUGGGAAUGCAGCUCUAAGUGGGUGGUAAAUUCCAUCUAAAGCUAAAUAUUGGCGAGAGACCGAUAGCGAACAAGUACAGUGAUGGAAAGAUGAAAAGAACUUUGAAAAGAGAGUGAAAAAGUACGUGAAAUUGUUGAAAGGGAAGGGCAUUUGAUCAGACAUGGUGUUUUGCGCCCUCUGCUCCUUGUGGGUGGGGGAAUCUCGCAGUUCACUGGGCCAGCAUCAGUUUUGGUGGCAGGAUAAAUCCGUAGGAAUGUAACUUGCUUCGGGAAGUAUUAUAGCCUAUGGGAAUACUGCCAGCUGGGACUGAGGACUGCGACGUAAGUCAAGGAUGCUGGCAUAAUGGGUUAUAUGCCGC
rnacentral:rRNA from 1 species